rnacentral:lncRNA from 10 species
GGCGGGGCCAAGAUGGCUGACUGGAAGCUGUGGCGUUCAGAGGCUUCCAUCGGAAAAAAACAUAAUAAGCCUGUGAAUCCUUCACAGGCAACCAAGGUAUCCAGGCUCUCUCUCAUCAAAAUUGUCUAGAAGGCUGGCAUGACCCACUGAGAGAAGGAAGAGCACUGUGGUGUGGUGGCCCACACCGGGAAGGGGAACCUCCUCUCCACAGCCACGGGAGGCGAGCACCGGAGAUUGUCAGAAGAUCUCAUUUCUAGUCUUAGCUGUAGGACUGUGGGCAAGUCACCGGGCUCCCUUUGUCACUCAGUCUGGAGUAAAGUGGCACAAUCAUGGCUCACUGCAACCUCAACCUCCAGGGUUCAAGGAAUUCUCCCACCUCAGACUUCCAAGUAGCUGGGACUACAGGCACGUGCCUGAUCCUCUUCCUCCUCCUACACUGCACCCUCCAAAAGGCCCCUGUGUGGGUUGUUCCCCAUUAUGUGUCCAUGUGCUCUCAUCAUUGAGCUCCCGCUUAUAAGUGAGAGUGUGCAGUAUUUGGUUUUCUGUUCCUGCAUUAGUUUGCUGAAGAUAAUGGCCUCCAGCUCCAUCCAUGUCCUUGCAAAGGACAUGAUCUCGUUCUUUCUUAUGGCUGUAUAGUUUUCCAUGGUGUAUGUGCACCACAUUUUUCUUUAUCCAGUCUGUCACUGAUGGGCAUUUAGGUUGAUUCCAGGUCUUUGCUGUUGUGAAUAGUGCUUCAGUAAACAUAGAUGUGCAUGUGUCUUUAUAAAACCAUGAUUUAUAUUCCUUUGGAUAUAUACCCAAUAAUGGGGCUGCUGGGUCAAAUGGUAUUUCUGUUUUUAGAUCUUUGAGGAAUCAUCACACUGUCUUCCACAAUGGCUGAAAUAAUUUACACUCCCACCAACAAUGUAUACGUGUUCCGUUUUCUCCCCAACCUCGCCAGCAUGUUAUUUUUUGACUUUUUAGUAAUAGCCAUUCUGACUGGUAUGAGAUGGCAUCUCAUUGUGGUUUUGAUUUGCAUUUUUCUAAUGACUAGUGGUACUGAGCUUUUUUCAUAUACUUAUGGGCUGCAUGGAUGUCUUCUUUUGAAAAGUGUCUGUUCAUGUCAUUUGCCCAUUUUUAAUGGGUUUAUUUCUUUCUUGUAAAUUUAAGUUCCUUACAGAUGCUAGAUAUUAAAUCUUUGUCAGAUGACAGUUUGCAAAUAUUUUCUCCCAUUCUAUAGGCUGUCUGAUCACUCUGCUGAUAGUUUGUUUUUCUGUGCAGAAGCUCCUUCAUUUAAUUUAUUCAUUUAGUAAAUCUCUUUUGUCAAUAGUUGCUUUUG